AUUCAAGGGAUUCGCUCACCUCGGCCUCCCAAAGGGCUGGGAUUAUAGGCGUGAGCUACUGUGCCCGGCCUCCUUGAGUAUUUUUUGUACAACAGGUAAGUUGGCAAUAAAAUUCUCUUACUUUUCUUUUAUCUGAAAAACAUCUUUGUCUUCAAGCCUUAAAGCACUUUUUGCGAAUAGAGAAUACUGAGGAUUUUUUGUCUUUCAGCACUUUAAAGGUAUUGUUUCACUGUCUUCUGGCCUCCACGGUUUCUGAGAAGUCAGCCAUCAGUCACAUACAAUGUACGUAAUGGAUUCCUUUUCCUUUGGUCAUUUUUAAUAUUUUCUUUUUCUUUCGUUUUCAGCUGUGUGACUGUGAUGGGUUUAGGUGUGGUACUUUUUGCAUUGAUUUUGCUAGGGUUUCAUUGAGAUUCUUAGGUAUGUAAUUUAAGGUUUUUCACCAAAUUUGGGAAAUUUUAGUCAUUAUUUCCUCAAUUAUUUUUCUUCUGCCUCAUUCUCUUUCUCCUCUUCCUCUGGCACUCCAAGUACAUGUAUGUAGACCUCCUGAUAUUAUCACAAGGCACUGGUAAUUCUUUUUAAAAUAUUUUCCCAUUUUUCAGACUAGAUAUCUAUUGAUCCAUCUCCAAGUCCACUACCCUUUCUUCUGGACCUCUGAUCCACUUUUAGUCUCAUCCAGUAAAUUUUUCAUUUCAUUUCCAGUAGUAGAAUUUUCAAUGGGUAAGUUUUUUAUAAUUUCCAUUUCUCUGUUGGGAUUUCCUGUUUGUUCACUUUAUCCACCUUUUAUUAAAGUCUGUGAACAUAUUUAUUAUGGGUAACUUGAAGAACUUGCCUGUUUGUUCCAACUUCAGGAGCAUUUCAGGGUCUACUGACUGCUUUCUUCCCCUUAAGUAUAUGUCAUAUUUUCUGACUCUGUAUGUCCACUAACUUAUGAUUGUAUGUUAGAUACUGUAUGAUACACUGCAGAAAGUCUGGAUUAUGCUGUCUUUCUUUAAAGAUGUAAAGUCUGUUCUGGUAGUCAGGGAGAUUACUGGCAGAUCCUUUUGGUGCUACCAAGCUUGGCUCAAACCUUUCUUCAGUUCUAUUUCCAUUUUGAACUUAGCCUUAGGGGUGUGCCUCCCCUAAACAACCCCCCAACUCCACCUCCCACCCCCCACCCGCAUCUGACUCAAGAGCACAGUCCUACUUCUAAGUUGUGACGUUCUGGGAUCUCAACUGAAUGCCUGAGGUGUUCAGGGAAGUUUCUUCGUUCAGGUUAAGCUGGAUCUGCAACAUCUCCCAGAACUGAAUGACCUCUGGCAUCAUCAUUGGGUUCUUAGCCCUACAGCAGGUGAUCUCUGCCAGGCCUCAUGAAGAGUCUCACUCUGCACAUGCACACCCAGCUCUCAGCCAACAAUCCAACUAGAAUCCUUACAAAGAACUCUGCUGUCUUUGCCCCAUCACAGGGCUUCCAUUUCUCUAGUUCCUUGCCCUGCAAACUCCAACUAUUUCAGUGGCAUAGAAUUCUAAAGUCUGCCCCGAGCUGACUAAAAUCACCCUUCCAUUUGGGCUCCACCACUCCAUGCCGAGACUAGAUGGUAACUGCAGGCAGAAAGCCAGGGGCUCCUCAUGGCGUUUCCUCUCUCAAGAAUCAAAGUCCUAUCCUGUCUGUCCAAAGUCUGAAAAUGGCAGGGAUUUAAUAUCUUCCAUGAGUCUCAGUACCCUUUGUAUAUUCAGUUGCUUCACAUGUUUUACACAGUUUCGUAGUUGUUUUUGUCAAGAGAGCAAGUCAUUACCAUUAUUCUGCCAUGGCCAGAAGCAGAAGUCAAUUAUGAUUAUUAAACUACAAAAGGGUAUUCUUUCUCAUUUUCUGAAGAUGCUAGCCUAAGAGUAAACAUCUUCUCUGUGAGAAGUGUCUUUCAGUUUCACCCCUCGUUUCCUCUGUCCUUCACAUGUUACUACUACCUUUUAUCGGUUUCACUAGGUAGGUAACACGUAAGAGUGAACCUUCUGGGGCUAUUAUUUUAACUCUAUCAUCUAGCUUUAAUAAAGCAUUGAGAAGAAUUAUGAAAAGCAGCAAAAAAUGUGGCAAGCUUUCUGAGCAGGGUGCUAUGAGACAGGGAUUCCAGCCCUUGCUUUGUUAUUGACAUGCUGUACGUUCCUGGGCAUUCAGGUCUCUACUUUGAUCCUGGUGUCUCCAGGUCCGAUGAAAAAAAAUGAUCUUAUAAAUAACUAUGUACUACAGGUAUGGUACCAAUUCCUAAAUCGACCAUGUCAGGGCAACAGAAAAUGUUGGAAAGAUGGAAUAGGAACUGCUGACACUUGUGAAGCAAUUUAGUGAGCAAGUUAAGAAACAUAUCCUGUUUAAGGUAGCAUCUUACAAUGUGACACCAUGAAUUGCACUCAGCACCUGGUAUACUGCUUAGGUAGCAGGUACAGUGUAAGUGGUGAUUGUAUGAAUAACUAUGCAUGGAUGAAUAAAUUAAUUAAUGAGGAAGAAGGGCAUCAACUCAUACAGGAUAUUGAUAUUAAAUCCUAAGGCAUUUGGCUUUGGAUUUUGAACACAGUAAAUGCUCAAUAAACAACAACUGUGUUGACUUGAAUUAAAAGACGUGCUUUCCAUGUAUCCAGACCCCAACAGAAAGCAGAGUGGGCUGAAAAUAAAUCAUAGAGCUAUACUAGAAGACACUCUACUUAGGAGAUCUAGUUCAAAAACUUGCUGGGGUGACUUGGGAGAGUUAACUUUCUUCUGUGGGUUUUAGUUUUCUUUUCUGUAAACAGACUAAUCUCACUUCUCUUUCUUUCUCAUUGGGAUGUUUGUAAAUGAAAGGGUCCUUCACUAACCAGAAAUGAAUUAUGUUUGUAUAAUACUGACAUUUCAUGAGAAUUUGUGUUAAGAAGGCAGGGUGUUUUGAGUACAAAGGAUUAUGUACAAAGGAUUAUGAAAUCCUAUUAACAAUGCUGCAGUAGGCUUUUAAAAUAUAAUAUUUUAUAUGUGCUAUCAUUAGUUGACUCCUGGAACCUCAACUAUCACUCCAAAAACCAAAAUGGAAAUUGGAUCUGCCAGAGAUUCUAUUAUUCUCAACUACUUUGCCUGAGAGACAUUUCUUUAAAAAGUUUACACUAAAAAAGCUCAGCCAGCCACAAGACGCUAAAGUGCCUUUUCCUUUCCAGUUCACUCACAGUUCAGUUUCAGCUCUUGCUGACACGGCCUGCCUAAGCCUGCCUGCUCUGUGAAGUCCAAAUGUUUAUCAUACCAGAGGGAAGACAUGAAGAACAAACAACUCAGGUGAGUGCACUGCAAGAAGGUGGCCAUCUGCAAGCCAGGAAAAGGGUCCUUGCCAGAAAUUGAACUGACGGGCAUCUUGAUCUUGGACUUCCCAGCCUCCAGAACUCUUUGAAAAUCUACCAUUCGGCCCUGUUAGUCUUUCCGGCUGAUCCUUCCCAUCCACAAACAGAUGCUGCUCACUGGAUUCAGCACUUCCAUCAAAAUCCCCAAAAGCUUUCAUGCUUAGCAAUGAACAGACAUCAAAAAGGCAGCAACUAUCCUCUUUACUGCCAUUUCCUCUUCUAGGGCCUGCGACAUGACCAGGAUAAAGGAGGAGGUUAAAAAAAAAAAAGGUAAUAAAAAUGAAUAAACAAAGAGUGCUGAGAAGCUGAGAUGUAUCCAGCUCUGCUCAAGUGUGACAGAUGUCUUCAACUAACCCUCGAUCCAGUUAAGAGGAUAAGACAGAGAAAAUUAAAUAUCAGAUUAUUUAUUAUAUACCUUAAGUGUUGCAUGAGACUUCAGAAAAAAGAGAAAUUUUGUGGGCUGUAGAGGUCAGAAAAGGCUUCCUGAAGAAAUACUGCAUGCACAGGGCUGGGUUUUAGAGGAUUUCACGGAAAGAAAACAAAGGUUUGGAAAUGGGGAAGCCAAGUGGUGAGUGCAGAUCCAGACUAAAUCAUUUUUAUGGAGUGGAAGGAGCCAUGCUUCAAGAGACAGUAGCCAGACCAUGGAGAGCUCCACCUGUGGAAAACAAUGAAAAGUUGUCCUGGCAAUGGACAGAAUUUUAUAUCCACAAAGUACUGGUAUAGCAUCCUCUCAUCCCACCUUGCUAUGAGGCAAGCUGUGUUUAAGCAUUCGGUCAUGUGUAGGGAUGAACUUAGUACUUUGUUCAUUCCAGGGAUCUGAUAAUCAUGAAUGUCCCAACCAAGAAGCCCGGGACAACAAACAAGAAUUUUAUCAACUGUAGCAAAACGUGUCAACCUUCUCUUCCUUAGGAAUCUCUAUUCCUUCACUCCCCAAUAAGUGGAGAAUAAAAGUACACAGUCUUCAUUCUGUGGCUUUGGAAGUGCUCUAAGGUACAUCUGAUUUGAAUGCAUCCUCUCUCCAGGAAAAGGAAUUCCAUCACUGAGUACACUUCUUAAAUCACAGAAUAUGUUUCAUUGCCCUGCUCAUAAAAAUACAUCCAACCACUUUUAUCCAUCUCCUCACCUCCCUUAGGAAGCCUCUAUCUUGACUUGAUACACAGUUGUCUGAUCUAGCAAAUACAGUAAAAAAUGAGUAAGAGUGGUAACUUCCAAAAAACUAGGCAGGGGAGCCCUGCGAGGGGGCGCUCAUCUUCCUUGCUCCUGGUUCUCCUCCUUGGUGUCUUUGGUGUGCAGUCUGUGCACAUGGGACCCAGAGUUGAUUUCCAAAUAGGAAAGAGCUCCAAGUGUUCCUGUUUCUCCCAGGGUCACACAACAAGUGAAAGUAGAUAGUCUUUUCUCUCUUCUAGCACUCGUGCUGAUGAAGAGGGGGGGCAGAGUAGUUGCAAAGAAUGCACUGUGAGUCAACCCUGGCAUUUGGCAGAGUCUGAACUGGUUAACUGGAGUGAAAAUAAUUCUUCUUGUCUGUAAACUAUUACGAAAUGCUCUGAAGAGCCCAGUGACUAGUUAUUGAGGUAUAAAAUCCAAGAAAGACCACGAACCAGCAUAAGUUCUAGAUCAAACAUUGUAGUCUGUACAAGCCACACUUCUAACACAUCUAGGUUCACUAUGCCUUUUGAGGUGCCAGUGGAAUUCCAAAGCACGCUAUAGCACUUUUCAUUUUCCAGUGCUCUUGACUAUGAAAGCUCACACACGGCCAUUCUUCUCUCUGAACAUCUCUGCAAAUAAAAUAUUAUUCCUAUUUUACAGGUGGAAAAACUAAGUCCCAGUGAAGUUAUGUGACUCACACAAAGUAAUGCAGCAUCAUUAGAACCCAGGGUUUCCAGGUUCCCAAGCCCGUGAACACCAGCAAGCUGUAUACAUCAGAAUCAUCAGUGGGACCUUAAACAGUGCACAUGUCUGGGUUUCACCUGUACAUAUUUGGACUUAAGAGGUUUGAGGAGUGGUCUGGGCACCUGUCUUUAGAUUGCAAUGGGCCCUCUCAGUGAGAAACAUUACAUAGAAUUCCCAAGUUGAAAGUCAUUCUUGAAAGCUCUUCAGUAGAUUUUCUUGCUGUCCAGGAGAACCACCCCAGAAUGUAUCCCAUCAUAGCUACAAUUGUUGGAAGGGUGCUCUUCACUGAGUUUUACUUGUAAUUCACUCUUCCCUACACAGAAGAGACCUCACACAUCACAGUUGUCCACUGCAGUCCUAGCUAGUUCAACAGACGCUUACUGAUCACACCAGGCUCCAAGGAUAAUGAAAUAUGACACGGAGGAAUGUAGAACAAUGAAUAAUGUAAUGGGCUGUGGGCUCAGUACAGAAGCACUGUAGACUCAGAGAACCAGGGGUCACUUGGUGAUGGGCUCUGGUUCUAUUAUCACAAUUAGCCAGAAAGCACUGUAGUCCCUGUUUGUCAACUGCAAGGAACUUAUUAAUCUCUCAGACCAGUGAAUCUGCAUGCAAACCAAGCCAAGAUCCAAGCUCUCAGCUGAUUAGUCACACCAUGUUUGGUUCACUGUGUCAUAAACAUUUCAGUAGCAAACAUGAUUAUCUUCCAAGGACUGAUUUCUGGCAUUCAGAGUCUGAACACUCAGGGAGAGGGGAAGACUAGAAGCACCCUAGCUUGAGAAUGUGUCAGCCUUUCUCCUGGCUCCCAUGCAAUUUCUAAUCCAGGAUAAGGGUCUAUAAAAUGCUUUGCUGAUUACAGUAAAUUAAAACAAUUAAUUUAUUGAGUAUCUAAAUGCUUUAUGGAGGUCAUCUCGGCUAGGAGAGGUGGCUUAUGCCUAUAAUCCCAACUCUUUGGGAGGCUGAGGUGGGCGUAUCACCUGAGGUCGGGAGUUUGAG